rnacentral:rRNA from 1 species
UACGAAGGGAGCUAGCGUUGUUCGGAAUCACUGGGCGUAAAGCGCACGUAGGCGGAUGUGUCAGUCAGGGGUGAAAUCCCGGAGCUCAACUUCGGAACUGCCUUUGAUACAGCACAUCUGGAGUCCGGAAGAGGUGGGUGGAAUUCCUAGUGUAGAGGUGAAAUUCGUAGAUAUUAGGAAGAACACCGUGGCGAAGGCGGCCCACUGGUCCGGUACUGACGCUGAGGUGCGAAAGCGUGGGGAGCAAACAGGAUUGAGA